CACGAACGGUCCAAACGUUAAUCGGAAUCACUGGGCUUAAAGGGUGCGUAGGCGGCGCGGAAAGUUGGGUGUGAAAUCCCUCGGCUCAACCGAGGAAUUGCGUUCAAAACUACCGUGCUUGAGGGUGAUAGAGGUGGGCGGAACUUAGGGUGGAGCGGUGAAAUGCGUUGAUAUCCUAAGGAACACCGGUGGCGAAAGCGGCUCCCUGGAUCUCUUCUGACGCUGAGGCACGAAAGCUAGGGUAGCAAACGGG
rnacentral:rRNA from 1 species